rnacentral:rRNA from 1 species
GGGGGAUAUUGCACAAUGGGGGAAACCCUGAUGCAGCAAUGCCGCGUGAGGGAAGAAGGUCUUCGGAUUGUAAACCUAAGUAGCCAGGGACGAUAAUGACGGUACCUGGAGAGUAAGCUCCGGCUAACUACGUGCCAGCAGCCGCGGUAAUACGUAGGGAGCGAGCGUUGUCCGGAUUUACUGGGUGUAAAGGGUGCGUAGGCGGGAUGGCAAGUCAGAUGUGAAAUACCGGGGCUUAACCCCGGGGCUGCAUUUGAAACUGUCGUUCUUGAGUGAAGUAGAGGCAGGCGGAAUUCCUAGUGUAGCGGUGAAAUGCGUAGAUAUUAGGAGGAACACCAGUGGCGAAGGCGGCCUGCUGGGCUUUAACUGACGCUGAGGCACGAAAGCAUGGGGAGCAAAC